rnacentral:lncRNA from 1 species
UUGACUUUAAUAUUGAUUGAAUUCUAUACCAUCGCAAGUCCUUGCAACUACUACAGACGCAACUCAGGAUAAGGAGUGUUAGGCCGAGUCCUUUCUUCGGGCGAUAGGGAGUUUGCUUCAGCUAGAGCUAGAUUCCAUUAUGUAUUUGUUGACAAGGGAUGAGCAACAAGUCCACCACACCAGUUCGGGCAAGACUUAGUGCUAAUGCUUAGGCUAAGGUGUUUGCCAGGUCUUCUAUAAGAUAUAAGAAAGAAGGUCACUAACCAUGCGCUCUUAAGUUACUAAAGAUCAGUGUCGACGAGAUCUGGAUCAUCGCAGAAGAAUGCAAGUAUACAAAAGAAUCCGCUGUUUCAAGGUGUGGUGUUGGUUACUGGUGUUGGUGACGAGCGGUUCAAUUCAAAAGCAAACUAGGAGUGAGUGAGUGAGUGAGUGUCUUUUGUAUCUCAGUAUCGGAUAAUUGGGAAUAUCCCGGCUUCUCCAUUAGAAUCAAACUAUGUGUGUAACUACUUCAGUCUCAUCUAUAUGUAACUAAGUUCAACUCUUUCGCUGCUCACUUGAACUCGGGCACCUCUUACUCUAAUCUUGAACUCGGGCACCCCUGACUCUAAUCUUGAACUCGGGGGGGCCCCUCUGACUCUAAUCUUGAACUCGGGGGGGCCCCUCUGACUCUAAUCUUGAACUCGGGCACCCCUGACUCUAAUACUGAUCUCAACAUCACUUUAUUGGUAUUUGUCCCUUCCACUACUUGGGUAAAGUAUAAGUUACAGCUACGCCUUUCCUGGCUCUAAGGGGAAAGGAAUUGUUAUGUACAAGUCCUGUUUACGCCCUACUCUUUCUACUGAAACUCUACAUUCAUCUUUCCUUCCUGCUGAGCUUUAUACCUUCACUUUUCUUUUCACUUAACCUUGUAGUGUGCAUUCAAACUGGAAUUCGGCUUUCCUUCCCGAACAAUCAGUCACGUUACUCCCUAUUGAUUUUCUAUAUGAGUCACGCUCUCUUCAAUAAGCAAGAGAAAGAAUAAGCAUUUGACUCGAUUCCAUAAGUGCUGUAAGGUUGGUUUUCAACUACUUCUAUACAUAAGUGAACUAUCUAGAUGAUAUUCAACAAUUCCACUAUUCAUUGAUUCUCGGCUUCUAUAUAAGAUGAAAGUCAAGCACUGAAAAGAGCUUCUAUCGUACACUGAAACAGAACCAACAAGACAAACAACAUUGUCAACUUUCUCAGUAAGCGCAACUGCUUCCCUUUGGCCUCUCUAAUACUUUCCUGGAACGGAACCUUAACCACUUGUUUGCGGACCUCUCUCUCUUGCCCACGUUACGGCUGUUCUACGGUACGGCAUUUUUUCCUAUCUAAUAUAUCUCUAUCUAUAUACAAUAAUCAUCUAUAUACAAUAAUACAUUGAUUUCGAGCCCAAUACUUAUCUUAUUGUUUUCUUUCUUGGUGCUCUUGCAAUAAUACGUUAUCAUAUUUCCUUUCCCCGCCUUACCUUACAUGAAUUAAGCAAGCAAGUAACUCGCUAACGGCUUUAUUCUUUCCCGAACUCAAAUAAGUGUUAGCGCAAGGGUGAGUCAAACAGUUAAUUGAACUGAUGCGCAAACAGGAAUAUCAUAUUUUGGGGAAUCUUUCUUUCUCGCUCACUUUCUACUUCACCAAGAUACUUUACUCAAACAAACCACAUUAGCUUCAACACCCGGCCAUGUUGAUUACCAGAUUCUAUACCCGGGUCUCACGUAAUAAGCUUACUUCUGAUGAUCCAUCUUAUGCUGAAGGACUUAGUGCUGAAGAAUAAGAAGCACAUUCUCUACUACUAUGUUAUUCCCUUAACCGCUCCUAAGCAUGAGAACUCGUAAAACGGAGAGCCAAUUACCUCUUUUGUAGACUUAACAAGCAAGCACCCGACCU